rnacentral:rRNA from 1 species
AUUGAACGCUGGCGGCAGGCUUAACACGUGCAAGUCGAGCGGGGUGAUGGUGCUUGCACUAUCACUUAGCGGCGGACGGGUGAGUAAUGCUUAGGAAUCUGCCUAUUAGUGGGGGACAACAUCUCGAAAGGGAUGCUAAUACCGCAUACGUCCUACGGGAGAAAGCAGGGGAUCACUUGUGACCUUGCGCUAAUAGAUGAGCCUAAGUCGGAUUAGCUAGUUGGUGGGGUAAAGGCCUACCAAGGCGACGAUCUGUAGCGGGUCUGAGAAGAUGACCAGCCACACUGGAACUGAGAGACGGUCCAGACCCCUACGGGAGGCAGCAGUGGGGAAUAUUGCACAAUGGGUGCAAGCCUGAUGCAGCCAUGCCGCGUGUAUGAAGAAGGCCUUCGGGUUGUAAAGUACUUUCAGCGGGGAGGAAGGCGAUAAGGUUAAUAACCUUGUCGAUUGACGUUACCCGCAGAAGAAGCACCGGCUAACUCCGUGCCAGCAGCCGCCGUAA